AACCUCCGCAAUGUGAGAAAUCGCGACGGGGGGAUCCCAAGUGCCAUUCUUAACGGGAUGGCUUUUCAUUAGUGUAAAAAGCUUUUGGAAUAAGAGCUGGGCAAGACCGGUGCCAGCCGCCGCGGUAACACCGGCAGCUCUAGUGGUAGCAAUUUUUAUUGGGCCUAAAGCGUCCGUAGCCGGUUUAAUAAGUCUCUGGUGAAAUCCUGUAGCUUAACUGUGGGAAUUGCUGGAGAUACUAUUAGACUUGAGACCGGGAGAGGUUAGAGGUACUCCCAGGGUAGAGGUGAAAUUCUGUAAUCCUGGGAGGACCGCCUGUUGCGAAGGCGUCUAACUGGAACGGUUCUGACGGUGAGGGACGAAAGUUAGGGGCGCGAACCGGAUUAGAUACCCGGGUAGUCCUAACUGUAAACGAUGCGGACUUGGUGUUGGGGUGGCUUUGGGCUGCUCCAGUGCCGAAGGGAAGCUGUUAAGUCCGCCGCCUGGGAAGUACGGUCGCAAGACUGAAACUUAAAGGAAUU
rnacentral:rRNA from 1 species